rnacentral:tRNA from 1 species
GGCCUCAUGGUCAAGCGGUUAAGACACUGCCCUCUCACGGCAGAAACUGGGGUUCGAUUCCCCAUGGGGCUACCA